AGCAGCCGCGGUAAUACCGGCGGCUCGAGUGGUGGCCACUUUAUUGGGCUUAAAGCGUCGUAGCUGGGUUAUUAAGUCCCUUGGGAAAUCCGACAGCUUAACUGUCGGGCGUCUAAGAGAUACUGGUAAUCUUGGAACCGGGAGAGGUGAGGGGUACUUCGGGGGUAGGAGUGAAAUCCUGUAAUCCUCGAGGGACCACCUGUGGCGAAGGCGCCUCACCAGAACGGCUUCGACAGUGAGGGACGAAAGCUGGGGGAGCAAACCGGAUUAGAUACCCGGGUAGUCCCAGCCGUAAACGAUGUGCGUUAGGUGUAUCGGUGACCACGAGUCACCGAGGUGCCGAAGGGAAACCGUGAAACGUACCGCCUGGGAAGUACGGUCGCAAGGCUGAAACUUAAAGGAAUUGGCGGGGGAGCACCACAACAGGUGGAGCCUGCGGUUUUUAAAAUUGGACUCAACGCCGGAAAUCUCACCGGAUAAGACAGCAGAAUGAUUGCCGGGCUGAAGACUCUGCAUGACUAGCUGAGUAGUGGUGCAUGG
rnacentral:rRNA from 1 species